rnacentral:rRNA from 1 species
UACAGAGGUCCCGAGCGUUGUUCGGAUUCACUGGGCGUAAAGGGUGCGUAGGUGGCAGGGUAAGUUUGAUGUGAAAUCUCCGGGCUUAACCCGGAAACUGCAUUGAAUACUAUCCUGCUUGAGGGUUGGAGGGGGGGGACUGGAAUUCUCGGUGUAGCAGUGAAAUGCGUAGAUAUCGAGAGGAACACCAGUGGCGAAGGCGAGUCCCUGGACAACACCUGACACUGAGGCACGAAAGCUAGGGGAGCAAACAGG